ACCAAUUGGAAGCGUUGUCACAUCCGCAAACUGGAAGAUCAAGUUGAGCUCUUGUUUGAGAGGCACUGCGUCCUCUUGUGGUGGGUUGGUUGUAUGCAACCAGAGAGCUUUUAUUUUUGCACACCUGAACUUAAUAAAUUAGACAUUUCAUCGUACGCCAGUGCACUUCAGGGUCAGUUUUGAGUCUGCUGUCCCCCCCAACCCAUCUGGGUCCCUGCACAAACACAGACCCUUUUGCAGACUUCUGCUUUGCAGCUCGCUAUGACAUCAUACAAUGUGGCAUCACUUCCCUGCAAGGCAAGUCAUUGCUCACUCAACUGGAGUGUAAACACAUAGCCAUGCAAGGAUUUCUAUGUGUGCAAAUGUUGGUGUGUGUUUGUACACGCAUGCGUAUGUGUGUGUGCAUGUGGGCGCAUGACAUCACAGUGUCAUUGCUGCCCAACUCCACAGCAAAGCAAUGUUUUGUGAAGCAGAGAGUAGGACAGGAAGUGCCAUGGUACUGUCACUUCUCUGGCUGUUGUGAUCGCCUUGAUUGUUUCUUUUUUUUUUUCCAUCUAUUGGGGUUAAACCAAGGGGACUGGGCAGCUGAUCAGAGUGGAAUUGAUCACUGAAGUAAGUAGAGGUACCAAAGGAUAAGAUGUUCCUCUGAAGAAAAUCGAUAACCACCAUCCAAGGACUUGUCAGAUGAAGAUUCAUUAUCGACUUCAGAUGUUGAUUCAGAGUGUAUGAUGAAGAGGAGUCAAAGGUUCAGCGGCUCUUUCAGCUUUGAGGAGGACCAGCAGAUUCAUCUGAAAGAUGAGGAAGAGGAAGGAGAAGCUUUACCACCAAACUACCCUGAAGGAUCAAAAGAGGUGGCAGCAAAAUCUGCAGCAGAUUUUAAGCAAAUGGGAACUAGCCUAGUAAUCUGUGGCUCAAAUCAACCAAGGUCAGACAUAUUCAGACCUCAACACUUAUGGCAGGCUAUGACAAGAUGCCUUUCUUUUCGCUGGACUUCCAUCAGCAGACAAAGCAACCGGAAAUCAGCUUACGAAGGGGAUCUCAACCAAAGUGAAGACACACAGUCAUCUGUCAGCUCUGACUCGACCAAUGACGGUUCCUCAACAUCAUCUGCUUCGGAUGACAAAGAUGCACAUCUGUCAAAACCUGAGGUCAUCAGCGACAGAGGGGGAAAAAGUGGUCCACCCCCUCGUCUAGGAAUUUCCCAUUCCUGUCCCAGAUUAUCAAGAGCAAGACUAGCAACAGACCUGGGUCUGGCCUCAGUGAUCUUGGAGAAAGAAAUGUUUCUACGGAUUGAGCUGGUAGAUUCAGGUGAUGAAAGGGAUGAUUUACGCUACAGAGCAGAAUGGACUUUGUCAGAGAGAACUAAGGACCUGGCAGGAGGCGUCUGGCAAUCUCAAAGCCAAAAAGUAACAGACUGACCUAUUAAAUUGAAGGUUUGGGCUGAUGACUUCACACCAUGUACUGCUUAAGUUAGAUUGCAACCUCAGCCAUGAUAAUGUUACAUAGAUGGCAGAAUCGUUCAUUAGAAAUGGCUCGUGUUUUGCUGAAGAGUAACAUUAUUUUUCAGUCCUACCCAUGAUUUUCAAGAGCUAGACAAGCUUCAGACCAGCACCUUGUUUCAGUGAUCUUUGAGGAAUAAUUCUAAGGCAUAAUUUAGCUAAACCGGGUAGAAAAAAGGGGGAUUACUAAUGCUACUUGGUAAAAUGGAUGUUGUCUGGAAAAACAAAGGAAUUAGAAAAAGAUCCCUGGCUUUCUCAGGGCCAAAAAACGAUGGGUUGACCUGGUAAUUCAAGAUUUGGAUUACACUACAAAAAGUGACAUACCAUGUAUCCUUAAAGUGAGACUGCAAGCUCAGCCAUGAUUAUGUUAUCUUACAUGGCGAGCAUUCUGAUUAGAGAUGACCUAGAUUUCUCUAAGUGAUUGGUUUUGCAUGAUUUCUAUCACACACUACUGGUUCAGAUUCAGUAUCUAAUCAAUUAGAAAUGCUAUUUUGUUGACAUAGCACCGCUAAUGCUGAGGUCAAUUUUUUCAGCCUUGAUGGAAUCCUCACAGAACAUUUUUACUUGUAAGUGGUCUCAUGGUGGAGAAAUUGUGAAAUUGUAUUUUGGUGGUUUUUCAGUAAAACCUGGGAUUUUACAGUAUUGGGUUUUGAGGUCUUCAUCCAUGGUUGUCUUAACUACCAGUAUGUUGAAAUAUACUGUCUCAACAUGUGUCAAGCAAACUUACACUGCCGUGUUGAAAUAAGGUUUUACUUUCUUUACACUUUUCCAGUUCAGCAAAUGCUACGGUAAAUACACAAAAAAGCUUUAGAUAUGCUGACAGGUGCAAAGCUCCACUAUAAUUAUAUAUAUGUAGCCCAUUUUUUCAUGUACUUUCAUGUUUACAGUUAUGGUAAGUACAGACAGCAUAGCUUUAAGGUGAUAUUCUGUCUUACUGCAUUAAAAUUGAACUGCCCUAAAAGGUAGACUGGUAAUACUUUUGUAAGCAAAUAAGCAAUCGUAUAAAAUUCGGGAUCAAACA